GCAAAACCUAUCUAUCUCUCUAACUGGGUCUGUCAGACAUCCUCAGGCCGUUGAACGAUCGUCCACCGCUCAAACGAUCCAAGAGUCAUUGGGCUGUUAGGGACGGCUCUGAUCACUUGGUGAUGGUUCAUCCACCAGGCUGAAGUUCUCCACAGAAAUCAAGGAUACAAAUGAUAGAACAGAUCCCUAUUCAAGUAAGAUCGUGUCAAGCAAUGGCGGAAAGGACUAUAUAAAGGCUUUUGUGGUUUUGCGCAGCGUCGAUGUGGGACCGUGUUGUUGAAUUUUUCAGUUAACUACUAGCUGCCAAGGUAUUGCCUUCAAUUUCAACCACAUUGAAGCCAAUUACUGUAAAAUAAUCGAGAAUUCCAAUUCAGAAAGAUUAUACUGCCUAUAUUAAUAGGUGGCUCGAAGCUAUAUGAACAUCUAAUUGGAUGAAAAAGCAACCCUGAACUUUUUUGCUUUGCUCACAAAAUCAGAGUUUAAACAAAAUUGAAUGAGGCCUAAACGUUAUGGGUCAAACUUGGUGGGUUGUGCAGGAUUCCGAUUAUAACAUGUGUAUGGUUAAAGCACGUCAAUCACCAUGAGUGAACAUGAAAGUGCACUUAGUUAGUACUGUCCGUCAUUGUUACCUUUCGAGAUAUAUAUUUACUUGGAAUCAGUUGAAAUGAGUAUUGGAAUAAUUCUAAUUUAUGAGUCGUGAUUUUUCUGCGAUUACGUGAAUGAAGCAACACAAGCAUCCCAAGUGAGAAGACGAAUGCGCAAUGCAAGGGCGGUUGUUAGUGAGCUAGUAACGGAGCUUAAAGGCCAUGAGGACCAAGGACGAAAGUCGGGUUUAGUGAGACCUCGGACUCGAGAGAAACAAAGGAAGCUAAGAGGCAUGAAUUCCCCAAAGGCUAGAGAUCGAGCUGCGACGACCACAGAGGGUACAACGACGGGAACCAAAGUUGGCAAGAGCCAAAGGUGACAACAAGAGUUCGCAAUGAGCCAACACAGCACGAGGGCCAACAGACAAAGAAGCAAAAAUGGAAGCCUUGAAGGCUCCGAACGACACAAGGCCAUGAGUCAAAGGCCAACAUACAUUACAUUUUGCAGAUGCAGACUUAAAAUAG
rnacentral:lncRNA from 1 species